rnacentral:rRNA from 1 species
CCUACGGGUGGCUGCAGUCGAGAAUAUUUGGCAAUGGACGAAAGUCUGACCAUGCGACGCCGCGUGCAGGAUGAAGGCCUUCGGGUCGUAAACUGCUGUUGCGAGGGACGAAGGUUUCGCUUGCGAACAGUGAGCGGAAUUUGACGGUACCUCGAUAGAAAGCCACGGCUAACUCCGUGCCAGCAGCCGCGGUAAUACGGAGGUGGCAAGCGUUACUCGGAUUUACUGGGUGUAAAGGGCACGUAGGCGGUCCGAUAAGCCCCGUUUGAAAUGCCUGGGCUCAACCUGGGCACGUGGCGGGGGACUGACGGACUUGAGGACGCGAGAGGUAGGCGGAAUUCCCGGUGUAAGGGUGAAAUCUGUAGAGAUCGGGAGGAACACCAGUGGCGAAAGCGGCCUACUGGCGCGUUUCUGACGCUGAGGUGCGAAAGCUAGGGGAG